rnacentral:ncRNA from 1 species
UUGAUAUUUCCGGAACCGAGUAACGGAGACAAAGAGUAGCGCUUUAUUCUCUCUGUGGGGUUGGCGUUCAACUCAAUCGCGCGGUAACGCAAGCGAACUCGGAAAAUGACCGUCGUGAGUUUCGAAAAGAGUUUUCUUUUCUUUUUAAGGGACGCAUUCCCUGGAACCGGGUUGUCCGGAGAUAGGGAUUCUGGUAUCCAUAAAACGCCGACUUUUUCACGGUGUUCGGAGCGCUCUCGUCGGUACGUGAAAAUCCGAGCGACGCCUGGUAAAUCUCGUACUUGGUCGUACUGAUAUCCGCAGCAGGUCUCCAAGGUGAAUAGCCUCUGGCCGAUAGAAUAAUGUAGGUAAGGGAAGUCGGCAAAACGGAUCCGUAACUUCGGAACAAGGAUUGGCUCUAAGGGCUGGGCCGAUCGGGCUGAGGUUUCAAGCGUGCAGUGUAUGCUUGGCUUAGUUGUGUUGAGGACUUGUUCACUUGCCACCGGUUGUUCGGCUGGACGAGUGUAUUCGAGUCUGAAGCAGAGCUGGCCGACAGACCGGCACGUGCCCACCGUGAGCUGCGCGGCUGUCCGUUUUCGUGUACAGACCGUUUCGGUCGGCAU